CCUGACGUCGCUUGCGAGUCGUUCGGCAGGCCGUGCUCGUCCCAAAGCCAGAACUCAGCAGGGAUUAUUACCCUUAACUGGCACGUGAUGUCUGGAGCCAUAGUGACCAUCUUGCAACCAUAAGGAAAGGACAAGAGAAUCAGAGAUUCUAAAACUUGCACAACUGAGCCACUGAAACAAGACCAGCAAUCACCAACCUCAAAUUCUCUAUUAGGCAGGAAAAGCAAAUCCUCUUUUGUUUAAACCACUGUUAGUCAAAUCUACACUUACUUACAGGAUUCUUAACUGAAGCAUGUAGAAUUAAUAUUUGUUAAAUUAAUAAACAGUCUGGUUCAUAAAUG